GUGAUGUUGUUGCUAUGGUUACUCAGCUAUUACCCUGUGCUGAGUGCAUGCCUGGUUUUCAGGGAGAUAUAUUGUCCGUUUUCCCAGCCUGUCUUCGGCUCUCGUGUUCUGACAUUGGCCCUGCCCCUGUUGGCUGUCACUGAUGUUUGGUGGCCUGCCCGUUGUAGGGAGACCAUUCACGAAUGUCUUUUAAGAAAAGGUUUCCCUUAAGACACUACAGAAAGAGAAAAGCAUCUCUCAAGAACCUCCGCAAGAAUAAAGAGGUGGUUCCGACUUCUGAAAAAGAACAACAUGACAUUAUAGAAGAAAAAAACAUAUCUGCACUGCCAGAAACCCACGUAGAAGCAGAAGUUCAAAGAGAGCCAUCGAUGGAACAAGAAUUACAAGAGUCAUCAUCAACACAAGACCAAAGACCUAAGCAACAGGAAUCUCCUGGACAGUCAUCCUUGAGACCAUCAUCACCAGAGCAACAAUGUGAAGGACAAGAGGUAUCUACACAGUCAACCUUGGGACCACCAUCCCCAGAGCAACAACAUGAACAACAAGAGGUAUCUAGACAGUCAUCCUUGGGACCACCAUCCCCAGAGCAACAACAUGAACAACAAGAGGUAUCUAGACAGUCAUCCUUGGGACCACCAUCCCCAGAGCAACAACAUGAACAACAAGAGUUAUCUGGACAGUCACCCUUGAGACCAUCAUCACCAGAGCGACAACUUGAACAAGAGGUAUCUGGACAGUCAACCUUGGGACCACCAUCCCCAAAGCAACAACAUGAACAACAAGAGGUAUCUGGACAGUCAUCCUUGAUACUAUCAUCCCCAGAGCAACAACUAGAACAAGAGGUAUCUGGACAAUCAACCUUGGGACCACCAUCCCCAGAGCAACAACUUGAACAAGAAGAGAUAUCUGGGCAGUCACCCUUGAGACCAUCAUCCCUAGAGCAACAACUUGAACAAGAGGUAUCUGGACAGUCAACUUUGGGACCACCAUCCCCAGAGCAACAGCAUGAACAAGAGUCCUCUAAAGAGUCAUCCUUGGGACCAUUUUUAGAGCAACAACCUGCACAGUGAGAAUCUUCUAAAUAGACAUCUUUUGGACUACCAUUCCAAGAAUAUCCACCCAAGCAAUGGGAACCCCAAUUGACAGUCAUCCUUGAGAUAGCAAUCUCAGAAAGAGGUGACUCUGGGACAACGCAGGAGACAAAUGCCAUGAUGAGAAAAUGUCAGCCAUGUUGUGAAGAGCAACAGUCAGGAACUGGACAGGACCACAGGCAAAUGAAAAUAAAAUGACACAGUUUAUUUUCAUAUUAUGCUGAGGUGUGCCAGGACGGUAUUACAGUUAUGAACCUCAUAUUUUGAAGGACGGACUUAGAGCUUAAAAGAUGAGUAAAGAUUAAAUUCAUCUGGAAUCUCUUUCUCUGUUUCCUGACUAGAAGGGUGGAAGAGGGUAUGGGUCUAGACUUAGAGUAUCUGUCUGCCUGGAGUAGACCAUGCCCCUUUAGUAAUAUCAGCCUACACUUCAUAUCUCAGAAGUACUCACCAGCUUGAGACUAGACCACAUAAUACACAGCUACCGAGAGUUAAUUCUUCCUACUUAAAGCAUCUUCAAAUACUUACACGUAUGCAUUUACACAUACAAAUACAUUACCCAUACAUACAUGUCCUGUGUGUGUCAGGAGUAGAAGGUUUGAACUAGAUUGUGCCUCAUUUCAUCCAAAACUGGGGCUAAUGAUAUGCCUGGCCUGUAGGCUGUUGGGAUAGUGAUUUAUCAGAAAGUACUUAGUGCCAGACACGAGGAAGUCACAAAACAUGUGAGCUGUUGCCAUUAUUUCACUCUGACAGUCGUCUUGUUUCGUUAGUUCACUAGAGAAAACUGAAGACUUUGUCUAGGUGCUGAGGUAGUUUGUCAGGAGCCAAGUAGCCUAACUGAUUCUCAUGGGAAAAAGCUGUGUACCUAGCCUUCCGUUAACAGUUUCAAUGCAACCAUUUUUCAAUAAGACCACAGUAUGUACCUUUUGAUCAACUUCUUGAAACAUAAUGGUUUGCUGUAUGGUUCGUUGAUCAGGCCCUGGAACAAAGAGACCUUUUCCUGAACCCUACCUUACCCUAACUUCCUCCUAGUAACUUUCCAUACCCCUAUCUACUUCUCCUAGCCCCUAGCAUAUAUAAACCUGAUUCCCCUUGCAAUAAACGAGACCUUGACGUGA